AACGUAGGACACGAGCGUUAUCCGGAGUUACUGGGCAUAAAGGGCGGGUAGGUGGUGCGAUAAGACUGGUGUGAAAGCCUUCGGCUUAACCGAGGGAGGACACUGGUGACUGUCGGACUUGAGGCAGAUAGAGGGGUGUAGAAUUCCGGGUGUAGUGGUGAAAUGCGUAGAGAUCCGGAGGAAUACCAGAGGCGAAGGCGGCACCCUGGGUCUGACCUGACACUGAUCCGCGACAGCAUGGGGAGCGAACGGG
rnacentral:rRNA from 1 species